rnacentral:rRNA from 1 species
AUUGAACGCUGGCGGCAGGCCUAACACAUGCAAGUCGAGCGAAGCCUUCGGGCUUAGCGGCGGACGGGUGAGUAACGCGUGGGAACGUGCCCUUUGCUACGGAAUAGCCCCGGGAAACUGGGAGUAAUACCGUAUGUGCCCUUCGGGGGAAAGAUUUAUCGGCAAAGGAUCGGCCCGCGUUGGAUUAGGUAGUUGGUGGGGUAAUGGCCUACCAAGCCGACGAUCCAUAGCUGGUUUGAGAGGAUGAUCAGCCACACUGGGACUGAGACACGGCCCAGACUCCUACGGGAGGCAGCAGUGGGGAAUCUUAGACAAUGGGGGAAACCCUGAUCUAGCCAUGCCGCGUGAUCGAUGAAGGCCUUAGGGUUGUAAAGAUCUUUCAGUGGGGAAGAUAAUGACUGUACCCACAGAAGAAGCCCCGGCUAACUCCGUGCCAGCAGCAGCCGCCGUAA